GACAGAGGGGGCAAGCGUUGCUCGGAAUUACUGGGCGUAAAGAGCGCGCAGGCGGUCGAUCAAGUCGAGUGUGAAAGCCCCCGGCUCAACUGGGGAGGGUCAUUCGAUACUGAUCGACUCGAAGGCAGGAGAGGGUAGUGGAAUUCCCGGUGUAGUGGUGAAAUGCGUAGAUAUCGGGAGGAACACCAGUGGCGAAGGCGACUACCUGGCCUGUUCUUGACGCUGAGGCGCGAAAGCUAGGGGAGCAAACGGG
rnacentral:rRNA from 1 species